AGCAGCUGAAGUGGGAGAGCUAUAAGAAAGAGGGAUCGGAGAGAAUGAUGGAGCUGGCCGAGGUGUUUUCUGGGGUCAAACCUCUCACCAGGGUGGAGAAAAACGAGAAUCUUCAGGCCUGGUUCAGAGAGAUCUCCAAACAGAUCGAGUCCCUGAACUACGAGGACUCGACCGCAGCCGGCAGGAAGACUGUGCAGCUCAUUCAGGCUCUCGUGGAGGUCCAAGAGUUUCACCAGCUGGAGUCCAACCUGCAGGUGUG